rnacentral:rRNA from 1 species
GACGAACGCUGGCGGCGUGCUUAACACAUGCAAGUCGAACGGAAAGGCCCUGCUUUUGUGGGGUGCUCGAGUGGCGAACGGGUGAGUAACACGUGAGUAACCUGCCCUUGACUUUGGGAUAACUUCAGGAAACUGGGGCUAAUACCGGCUAGGAGCUCCUGCUGCAUGGUGGGGGUUGGAAAGUUUCGGCGGUUGGGGAUGGACUCGCGGCUUAUCAGCUUGUUGGUGGGGUAGUGGCUUACCAAGGCUUUGACGGGUAGCCGGCCUGAGAGGGUGACCGGCCACAUUGGGACUGAGAUACGGCACAGACUCCUACGGGAGGCAGCAGUGGGGAAUAUUGCACAAUGGGCGGAAGCCUGAUGCAGCAACGCCGCGUGCGGGAUGACGGCCUUCGGGUUGUAAACCGCUUUCGCCUGUGACGAAGCGUGAGUGACGGUAAUGGGUAAAGAAGCACCGGCUAACUACGUG